rnacentral:rRNA from 1 species
UACGUAGGGCGCAAGCGUUGUCCGGAAUUAUUGGGCGUAAAGAGCUCGUAGGCGGUUUGUCGCGUCUGCUGUGAAAACCUAAGGCUCAACCUUGGGCCUGCAGUGGGUACGGGCAGACUAGAGUGCGGUAGGGGAGACUGGAAUUCCUGGUGUAGCGGUGAAAUGCGCAGAUAUCAGGAGGAACACCGGUGGCGAAGGCGGGUCUCUGGGCCGUAACUGACGCUGAGGAGCGAAAGCGUGGGGAGCGAACAGG